GAUGAACGCUGGCGGCGUGCUUAACACAUGCAAGUCGAACGGAAAGGCUCCUGCUUGCAGGGGUGCUCGAGUGGCGAACGGGUGAGUAACACGUGGGUGAUCUGCCCUGCACUUCGGGAUAAGCCUUGGAAACUGUGUCUAAUACCGGAUAGGACGAUGGUUUGGAUGGCAUUUUGGAGAGUUUUUUCGGUGUGGGUUGAGCUCGUGGCCUAUGAUCUUGUUGGUGGGGUAAUGGCCUACCAAGGGGUCGCCGGGUAGCCGGCCUGGGGGGGUGGACGGCCACAAUGGGAAUGAGGUAAGGCCCAGACUCCUAAGGGAGGCAAGAGGGGGGAAAAAUGCAAAAAGGGGGGAAGGCUGAUGGAGCGGAGCCGGGGGGGGGAAGAAGGCCCUCGGGGUGGAAAAUCCUUUCGCGAAGGAAGGAACGCAAAGGACGGUACCUGGAGAAGAAGCACCGGCUAAAUAAGUG
rnacentral:rRNA from 1 species